GAUGAACGCUGGCGGCGUGCUUAACACAUGCAAGUCGAGCGAUGAAGUUUCCUUCGGGAAACGGAUUAGCGGCGGACGGGUGAGUAACACGUGGGUACCCUGCCUCAUAGAGUGGAAUAGCCUUCCGAAAGGAAGAUUAAUACCGCAUAACGUUGAAAGAUGGCAUCAUCAUUCAACCAAAGGAGCAAUCCGCUAUAAGAUGGACCCGCGGCGCAUUAGCUAGUUGGUGGGGUAACGGCCUACCAAGGCGACGAUGCGUAGCCGACCUGAGAGGGUGAUCGGCCACAUUGGGACUGAGACACGGCCCAGACUCCUACGGGAGGCAGCAGUGGGGAAUAUUGCACAAUGGGGGAAACCCUGAUGCAGCAACGCCGCGUGAGUGAUGAAGGUUUUCGGGUCGUAAAGCUCUGUCUUUGGGGAAGAUAAUGACGGUACUCAAGGAGGAAGCCACGGCUAACUACGUGCCAGCCGCCGCAGUAA
rnacentral:rRNA from 1 species